rnacentral:rRNA from 1 species
UGGUGGCUAUAGCAGUGGUGUUCACCUCUUACCAUUCCGAACAGAGUCGUUAAGCCCACUAGCGCCGAUGGUACUGCUAUGGCGGGAGAGUAGGUCG